rnacentral:rRNA from 1 species
AUUGAACGCUGGCGGCAUGCCUUACACAUGCAAGUCGAACGGGUAACGCGGGGGCAACCCUGGCGACGAGUGGCGAACGGGUGAGUAAUACAUCGGAACGUACCCAGUAGUGGGGGAUAGCUCGGCGAAAGCCGGAUUAAUACCGCAUACGACCUAUGGGUGAAAGCGGGGGAGUCGCAAGACCUCGCGCUAUUGGAGCGGCCGAUGUCGGAUUAGCUAGUU